rnacentral:tRNA from 1 species
GAGGAUAUAGCUCAGAGGUAGAGCGUGUGCUUAGCAUGCACGAGGUCCUGGGUUCAAUCCCCAGCACCUCCG